GAUGAACGCUGGCGGCGUGCCUAACACAUGCAAGUCGAACGAAUCAGAUAUUCAACACUGAGUAUUUAGACGAAGGAAAAAAGUUAGCCAGCGUCAAGGACGAACGAUAGAGAGUCCUUUACGCGUUCAAAAAAGUGUGCUAACACAUGAUAGUCUGAAUGUUGAGUGUUAGAAUAUCUGAUUAGUGGCGGACGGGUGAGUAACGCGUGGGAAACCUGCCCUAUACAGGGGGAUAGCCUCGGGAAACUGGGAUUAAUACCCCAUAAAACUCUAGUAUCGCAUGAUACAUGAGCCAAAGAUUUAUCGGUAUAGGAUGGUCCCGCGUCUGAUUAGCUAGUUGGUGAGGUAACGGCUCACCAAGGCGACGAUCAGUAGCCGGCCUGAGAGGGUGAACGGCCACACUGGAACUGAGACACGGUCCAGACUCCUACGGGAGGCAGCAGUGGGGAAUAUGCACAAUGGGGGAAACCCUGGAUGCAGCAACGCCGCGG
rnacentral:rRNA from 1 species